rnacentral:rRNA from 1 species
UGGGAACGUACCCUUUGGUUCGGAACAACCCAGGGAAACUUGGGCUAAUACCGGAUAAGUCCGUAAGGAGAAAGAUUUAUCGCCAAAGGAUCGGCCCGCGUCUGAUUAGCUAGUUGGUAGGGUAAUGGCCUACCAAGGCUACGAUCAGUAGCUGGUCUGAGAGGAUGAUCAGCCACAUUGGGACUGAGAUACGGCCCAAACUCCUACGGGAGGCAG